rnacentral:rRNA from 1 species
AGAGUUUGAUCAUGGCUCAGAUUGACCGCUGGCGGCAUGCUUUACACAUGCAAGUCGAACGGCAGCGCGGGGGCAACCCUGGCGGCGAGUGGCGAACGGGUGAGUAAUGCAUCGGAACGUAUCCUGUAAUGGGGGAUAACGUAGCGAAAGUUACGCUAAUACCGCAUACGCUCGAGAGAGGAAAGUGGGGGAUCGCAAGACCUCACGUUAUAGGAGCGGCCGAUGUCCGAUUAGCUAGUUGGUGGGUAAAGGCCUACCAAGGCGACGAUCGGUAGCUGGUCUGAGAGGAUGAUCAGCCACACUGGGACUGAGACACGGCCCAGACUCCUACGGGAGGCAGCAGUGGGGAAUUUUGGACAAUGGGCGAAAGCCUGAUCCAGCCAUGCCGCGUGCGGGAAGAAGGCCUUCGGGUUGUAAACCGCUUUAGUCCGGGAAAAAGGGGUGCGAGGAUAAUACCCUCGUGCUUUGAUGGUACUGGAAGAAUAAGCACCGGCUAACUACGUG